rnacentral:ribozyme from 1 species
UACACGCCAUACAUACGGGGAGUUUUUUUGUUUUGUUUUUUUUGUUGCUUUUUUGUUUCCUUGUUUGUUUUCGUUCGAGAUGUUCCGAAAUAAUUCACAGAAAAAAAGGGA